rnacentral:tRNA from 1 species
UACAUUUUAGUAUAUGAUGUAUAAAAGUUUUUGAUACUUUAGGAGAUGGUUUGAUUCUGUCAUAUGUAA